AAGACUAUAGACCUGCGGAGUACCUGCGGAGGGAUCAUUAACGAUUUCGGUGUAAAAAACCGUUUUCUACCUAUGUCUACGCGUACCACUUGUUUCCUCGGGGGGCUUGCCCCCCGCUAGGACCCUUUAUCAAACCUUUUUGUAAUAGCAGUCAGCGUCUGAUACUACGUUAAUUAUUAAAACUUUUAGCAACGGAUCUCU
rnacentral:misc_RNA from 1 species